rnacentral:rRNA from 1 species
CCUACGGGGGGCAGCAGUGGGGAAUAUUGGACAAUGGGGGCAACCCUGAUCCAGCCAUGCCGCGUGUGUGAAGAAGGCCUUCGGGUUGUAAAGCACUUUCAGUGAGGAAGAAGGCCUGCGGGUUAAUAGCCGGCAGGAAGGACAUCACUCACAGAAGAAGCACCGGCUAACUCCGUGCCAGCAGCCGCGGUAAUACGGAGGGUGCGAGCGUUAAUCGGAAUUACUGGGCGUAAAGCGCGCGUAGGUGGCUUGAUAAGCCGGUUGUGAAAGCCCCGGGCUCAACCUGGGAACGGCAUCCGGAACUGUCAGGCUAGAGUGCAGGAGAGGAAGGUAGAAUUCCCGGUGUAGCGGUGAAAUGCGUAGAGAUCGGGAGGAAUACCAGUGGCGAAGGCGGCCUUCUGGACUGACACUGACACUGAGGUGCGAAAGCGUGGGUAGCAAACAGGAUUAGAUACCCCUGUAGUC